GUUCGUGGCUCAGUGGUAGAGCAUUUGCUUUGUGUGCAAAAGUCCCCAGGUUCAAUCCCUGGCAUCUCCA